UACGAAGGGGGCUAGCGUUGUUCGGAAUUACUGGGCGUAAAGGGCGCGUAGGCGGCGUGUCAAGUCAGGCGUGAAAGCCCCGGGCUCAACCUGGGAACCGCGCUUGAGACUGGCAUGCUCGAGUUCGGGAGAGGAUGGUGGAAUUCCCGGUGUAGAGGUGAAAUUCGUAGAUAUUGGGAAGAACACCGAUGGCGAAGGCAGCCAUCUGGACCGACACUGACGCUGAGGCGCGAAAGCGUGGGGAGCAAACAGG
rnacentral:rRNA from 1 species